rnacentral:misc_RNA from 1 species
GAUGAAGAACGCAGCGAAAUGCGAUAGGUAAUGCGAAUUGCAGAAUUCAGUGAGUCAUCGAAUCUUUGAACGCACAUUGCGCCCUGUGGUAUUCCGCAGGGCAUGCCUGUUCGAGCGUCAUUUCAACCCUCAAGCUCUGCUUGGUGUUGGGCCCUGCCCGCUGCGGCCGGCCCUAAAGACAGUGGCGGUGCCGCCUGGCCCUGAGCGUAGUACAUCUCUCGCUCCAGUGCCCGGUGGUAGCCUGCCAGAACCCCAACUCUCGUGGUUGACCUCGGAUCAGGUAGGGAUACCCGCUGAACUUAAGCAUAUCAAUAAGCGGAGGA